rnacentral:rRNA from 1 species
AGCGAAAUGCGAUACGUAAUGUGAAUUGCAGAAUUCAGUGAAUCAUCGAAUCUUUGAACGCACCUUGCGCCCCUUGGUAUUCCGAGGGGCACACCCGUUUGAGUGUCGUGAAAACCUCAACCUCCUUGGUUUCUUCUGGAGAUCAAAG